rnacentral:lncRNA from 1 species
GUUUAACUGAUAGAUGUGGAUUUAUGUUUAAAUGUCGAGUAUAUAAAUGUGAACCUGUGAUGUGAAUGGUGUAUGAAUAUAUAAUUGUCGGUUAUUUGUAUGUUCAUUUGGUUGUGGUUGUAUCUGGGUUACUUCUUGUACUUGUGUGACGCAGUGCAAAUAUAGGGGAGACUCUGUUCGUGUGUACAGUGGAUUCCCUGUGUUUGUGGCGGAUCUGGCAUACUCUGGGGUCAGGCUUUUCAAAAAAA